UGAAGGAACAAGCUUAGAGAGGCAGGC
rnacentral:piRNA from 1 species